GGCGAGUUCUGCUGGCUGCUGCCAUCACUGCUGCCAGAGCAGCGGCGGCGUCUCCUGCCCUUUAUCAGGACGCUCCGAUACACCUGCAGAGAAAGAGGAGUGUAACCACAGAAGGAUGAUCAGGGGAAAACACAGCCUCCUGAGAGGAGUACUACCCACAGGCACCGCCUCCUUAGGUUUUGGCCAUUACAUAGAUGGCACACAUCAGCAGCUGAUCCAGAUGCCUGUCCAUCAUGACUUCGGGGCAGUGCACCAAGGAAUACUCAAAACACGUCCAGAUCUUUUUCCGCAGCUCAUCAGAUACGUCAAGUUUGACACAGAGGUCUCGCAGACGCACGCUAGCCAAAUGAUACACCUGUUGAAGUGGAGACAGUGCUCAGGGCCCAGCACAACUGCUUCUCUUACCUGGCUAAAGGGCAGCUCAGACUUGUGCACCCUGAAGAACUUGUGCAAAUGAUAAGCCAAAAGAAUAACAACUAAAUUUAACUUUUUUGUCUGCAGGACACAGACAGCAUCAGUACUGGUGUUGAUGCUAAGAAAACAUUGGUUUGACGCUCAAAUUCUGAGUUGUCUUGAGUGCAGGAAGGGCACUGCAUAACUUGUAGAAACCACAGUAUUGAAUAAACCAGAAUGUCUCAACAGAAAAUUUCUUUCUUUUAAAGAGCCUUAAAGAAAACGGACACCUCUUCAGCACCUGCUGCCCAAGUACAUAAUCUACUUCACCGCUUGUGGUGGCCGUGCUUAAUUUGCUCCUUUGCUAGUGAGAAGUUGCCCGCAUAAGAAAACUACUCUUCAGAGAAAAAGUUUGAGACUUGACUUCACAUAAGUAAAUAUAUAGUUGGCAUUUCUAUUCUGGUAUAACAAUAAAGCAAAUUGAUUAGAACAUAAGUUGUGUGUGUGUGUAUAAAUACUAUUGAAGAUGUACGCAUAUAUACAUACGUAUACACUGUUAAUAUACAUAACCUCCUGAAAACACCCUACCAUGACAGUAUUUUGUUCACACUGAAAUAAUGAAUGCAUCUGUCCUGGACUUCUGACUUCAUGUGAGUUGCAACAGAAAUACCAUUUACAACUGUGUUUGCAAUUAUCUGUACCGCUGACAUUAAAGCAGCUUCCUUACUGUGCACCACUAUGAUUUAAAGUUAAAGCCAUGGUCUAAGAAGUGUACAUUAUGCUUAAAAAAAAAAUCUCACCUUUUCC